CUGUCAGAAGCGUAAGUGACAAAACAUAAGCUGCUGCUAAAAAGACAUUUUCUUUGAGAGCUAAAGCCACUCUUGUUCGUUGACCCGUUUCCCAACAUUCUCAUGGCUAACUUGCCUUUUGGUGAAAACAGCUUCAGUCACACCGUCUAUAUACAUACAUGUAUAGGGAAUUGUUAAUGCUACAUCUCUAAUUGAUAUUGUUACAACCUAGGAUUGGUCAACUUGCAAGAUCAAGGAGCAACACCCAUGCAAAGUUCUUAGAAAGAAAAAAAAUUGGACUUUGUUUAUAAAACUUGAUUUUAAAUUGAGGAGGUUCUUUUUUGGAACCCUGGU
rnacentral:lncRNA from 1 species